GACGAACGCUGGCGGCGUGGAUUAGGCAUGCAAGUCGAACGGUAUCAUCCUUUCGGGGGUGAGAGAGUGGCGAACUGGUGAGUAACACGUAGGUUAUCUACCCUCAAGACGGGGACAACCCAGGGAAACUUGGGCUAAUACCGGAUGUGAGCAACUUUUAGUUGUUUGAAAGGUGGCGUAAGCUGUCGCUUGGGGAUGAGCCUGCGUCCUAUUAGUUAGUUGGUGAGGUAACGGCUCACCUAGGCAAUGAUAGGUAGGCGGCCUUAACGGGUGGUCGCCCACACUGGGAUUGAGAUACGGCCCAGACUCCUACGGGGGGCAGCAGUGGGGGAUCUUGCACAAUGGGCGAAAGCCUGAUGCAGCGACGCCGCGUGAGCGAAGAAGGCCUUCGGUUGUAAGCUCUGUCUGGAGGGACGGAAACAAAUAGACGGUACCUCCGGAGGAAGCCACGGCGUAACUACGUG
rnacentral:rRNA from 1 species